rnacentral:rRNA from 1 species
CCUACGGGAUGCAGCAGUCGAGAAUCAUUCACAAUGGGGGAAACCCUGAUGGUGCGACGCCGCGUGGGGGAAUGAAGGUCUUCGGAUUGUAAACCCCUGUCAUGUGGGAGCAAAUUAAAAAGAUAGUACCACAAGAGGAAGAGACGGCUAACUCUGUGCCAGCAGCCGCGGUAAUACAGAGGUCUCAAGCGUUGUUCGGAAUCACUGGGCGUAAAGCGUGCGUAGGCUGUUUCGUAAGUCGUGUGUGAAAGGCGCGGGCUCAACCCGCGGACGGCACAUGAUACUGCGAGACUAGAGUAAUGGAGGGGGAACCGGAAUUCUCGGUGUAGCAGUGAAAUGCGUAGAUAUCGAGAGGAACACUCGUGGCGAAGGCGGGUUCCUGGUCAUUAACUGACGCUGAGGCACGAAGGCCAGGGGAGCAAACAGGAUUAGAUACCCUUGUAGUC